CAUACACUUACAUAUCCUUUCCUUUAUUGCAGUGUGAGGGCUCUGGGCCGCCACCGCCGCCGCCCGCGCCGCCAUGUUGGAGCCCAGCAGCUCAGAGGAGGAGUCCGAUGGGGAGGUGCAGGAGGAGGUGCCUCAGCGCAGCGUGCCCCAGCGCUCCGCGGGGCCGCCGGUGGUCCAUGAACACCACGCCACGGACGGGGGCUCGGGACCCACCCCCCACCCCUCCCUGCAGGUGCCCCAGACUGGCACGCUCCCCAGAAGCGGGUCCCCGGGAAGCACGCUGAGUGUGGACACUCUCAGCGUGGGCGGAGGUCGAGGCAGACUCCUGCCGCGGCCCACCUCUCCCUCGCCCUCCGUGAUGAGCGACAAGCCGGCGGCAGCCACUCAGGAAGACCCAGCGGAAAAGCAGGAGAGAGAGGAGGAGGAGAGAAAAAAGAGGCUGCAGCUUUACGUGUUCAUUCUGCGCUGUAUAUCCUACCCCUUCAACGCCAAGCAGCCGACGGACAUGACCAAGAGACAGAUCAAGGUCACCAAGCACCAAUUAGACGUCAUCCAGGGGCGUUUCCAGAGUUUCCUAAAAGGAGAGCUGCAGAUUGCAGCAGACGAGGCCUUCAUUAAUGCUGUCCAGAGCUACUACGAAAUCUUCCUCAAGAAUGAACGCCUUGCCUCAAUGGUGGUGUCCGGUGCCUGCUCCCAGCAUGACCUGCGGGAAGUGUUCAAACACAACGUAGAAAAGAGAGUCAGGUCUCUUCCAGAGAUUGAUGGGCUCAGUAAAGAAACGGUUCUCACUUCUUGGAUGGCCAAGUUUGAUAUGAUUAUAAAAGGUGAAGAAGAUAGCAAGAGACCCGGCAGGAUGCAGCAAAGCCUUAACAGUGAGCUCAUCAUGCCUAAGGAGCAGCUCUUCGAUAUGUUUCAGCAAAUCUUGGGCAUCAAAAAGUUUGAACACCAACUUCUGUUUAAUGCACUUCAGCUUGACAGUCAAGAUGAACAAGCUGCUGCUAUCCGAAGAGAACUAGAUGGCCGCAUGCAGAAAGUGGCAGAGCUAGAAAGGGAGGUUGAAGGUCUAAAGAGAGAUCCAGAAAAUCGCAAGUUAAUGCCCAAGUUUGUGGUGAAAGAGAUGGAAUCCCUUUAUCUGGAAGAGCUCAAGACCUCUAUAAACCUUUUGAUGGCCAACCUAGAGAGUCUGCCUGUUUCCAAGUGCUCUCAAGAAGGGAAAUAUGGGUUACAAAAACUCAGAAAGUACAAUCAUAGGUCAGAUGGCAGCUUGGAAAAUCUAAGUCAUAGUAGGCGUAAAAGAUACAAAGUUUUCGAGUACCUGUCCCCAAGAUUAAGCAGGUCUCAGAGCUCGUUAAGUGGGCGCGACAGUGACAGUAUGGACAACGAGGUGACGCUUUCCAAGAUGGAUGUUGUCUUGUCAUUUGCACUGGAGGUAUUGGUGAUGGAGGUGCGAGAAAUUAAACACUUGCCACCAAACAGAAUAGUGUAUUGCACCAUGGAGGUUGAAGGAGGAGAGAAACUUCAAACUGAUCAGGCAGAGGCAUCAAAACCAAUGUGGGACACACAAGGGGACUUCACGACGACGCAUCCACUUCCUGGCGUAAAAGUCAAGCUGUAUACUGAGUCAGCCUCGAUGUUAUCCCUAGAUGAUAAGGAAUUGGGGAAGGUGGUCCUGCACCCCACAGCAAUGUCAUCCAAAAUACCCGAAUGGUACAAGAUGCAAGUUCCAAAAAACUCCUCAGAAAAUAACCUUAGAAUUAAGAUAGCUGUCAGAAUGGAUAAACCACAAAAUUUGAAGCAUUGUGGCCACCUGUACGCUCUAGGAAAGAGUUGCUGGAAAAAGUGGAAAAAACGGUACUUCUGUCUGGUGCAAGUGUCUCAGUACACCUUUGCCAUGUGUAGCUACAGGGAAAAGAAGAGUGAACCUACAGAGAUGAUGCAGCUGGACGGAUACACAGUGGACUACAUUGAACCAGUGUCAGCUCAGCUUAUGGUUGGAAUGGAUCUGGAGGGUGGUAGAUUUUUCUUCAAUGCUGUAAGAGAAGGAGAAUCUAUAUUAUAUGCCACAGAAGAUGAAAAUGAGUCGCACCAGUGGGUGACGGCACUUUACAGAGCCACUGGCCAAGCCCACAAACCCACCCCACCUGUUAUGCCCCAGGGAAAAAAUUCAACUUUAUCAAAAAUUCAAGGAGAUGCUGACAAGGCAAAAAAACACGGAAUGGAUGAAUAUAUUAGUGCAGAUCCUGUUAGAUUUGAUCACCACAACCUUUUUAGAGUUCUACAGAGUCAAACACUGGAAUACCGUCUUGGUGAUCCCUACUGUUCUUUAGGAUGGUUCAGUCCAGGUCAGAUUUUUACCUUAGAUGAGUACCAGGCUCGGUAUGGUGUGAGAGGCUGCUACCGACACCUGUGUUAUCUUGAGGACCUUCUGGACCGUGCUGAGAAGGGCCAGAUGAUUGACCCAACCCUAAUUCACUACUCCUUUGCCUUCUGUGCCUCCCAUGUACAUGGAAAUAGUCAUCAAGCAUUAAGCCCUGCCGAGGAUGGGACAGUGUCAGUAGGCCAAGAACAAACUCAAGGUCCAAUUGCCCCUAACGUACCAUUUCCAACAAGACCUGAUGGCGUGGGGACCGUCCUGGCAGAAGAAAAGGAGCGCUUCCAACAUAUCAAGGAGAGACUUAGAGUCUUACUUGAACAUCAGAUCACAAAUUUCAUGUAUUGCUUCCCAUUUGGUCGACCAGAAGGUGCCCUAAAAGCCACAUUAUCCUUACUUGAACGGGUGCUGAUGAAGGAUAUAGUGACUCCUGUUCCGCCCGAAGAAGUGAGAGGCAUGAUCAAGAAGUGCCUAGAAAAUGCUGCUCUCCUUAAUUAUACUCGUCUCUCAGCUGAAACCAGAAUAGAGGGUGGCGAAGCAACCCUUCAAGAGGAUCUGAGUGGUGAGAAUGCAGUAUCAGCCGGCAGAAAACUAGAUGACCUGAUCCACCUGGCAGAGCUCUGUGUAGAUCUUCUACAACAAAAUGAAGAGCACCAUGCUGAGGCAUUUGCAUGGUUCAGUGACCUCUUAGUGGAGCACGCUGAAAUCUUCUGGUCCCUGUUUGCUGUGGACAUGGAUCAAGUACUAGCUGAGCAGCCUCCUGAUACCUGGGACUCCUUCCCACUCUUCCAGAUACUAAAUGACUACCUAAGAACAGAUGACAACCUAAAAAAUGGACGCUUCCACCAACACCUCAGAGAAACGUUUGCCCCAAUGGUUGUUCGCUAUGUGGACCUUAUGGAAUCUUCAAUAGCCCAGUCCAUCCACAAAGGCUUCGAGAAGGAACGGUGGGAGAAUAAGGGGAAACCUUCAUCUCCAUCGGACUCGGAACCUCCAAAAAAAGUGGAUCCAGUGGCGCUCGCCAGGAAUGGGUGUGCAACUUCUGAAGACCUCUUCUGGAAGCUAGAUGCCUUACAGUCUUUCAUUCGAGACCUUCACUGGCCGGACCAUGACUUUGCAAAACAUCUUGAACAGAGGUUAAAGUUGAUGGCGUGUGAUAUGAUUGAGUCCUGUAUUACCCGGACAGACCAAGCCUUCCAACAGUGGUUAAAAAAGGGUACUGGCUUUAUCUCAACAGACUAUGUGCUCCCAUCUGAAAUGUGUGCCAUGGUCAAUGUUAUUCUUGAUGCCAAAAACCAGUCUUUCAAACUCUGUGCAGUGGAUGGAGUUGAUGUGCACCAGUACCAUACGAAAAUCGAUGACCUCAUUGAAAGAACCAGUACCUCAAUGACUCAAGGAAUGACGGCCAAGCUGCUGUCUGUUCUAGAAUCAGUCAUAUCCAAGUUGGGCAGAUACGAUGAGGGCAGCUUCAUUGGGUCGAUCCUGUCUUUUACGUACCGUCAGAAUGUAAGUGGCUCUGGAAAGGAGUUGGGGAAGGCGUACAUCAACUUUGCCAGGAACUCCAUGGACCAGAUUAGACAAAAAGUCAAUGAUGAGCUGUGGAUCCUUAACUUAUUUGAGCAAUGGUAUGCAGGACAAGUCACAAUGCUUUGCUCAUGGUUAAGUGAGAGACUAGAUCACAACCUCCAUCCAUACCAGUGUACCUGUUUAGCACACAUCGUCAAGAAAAUUUAUUCGGAUUUUGAACUCCAAGGGAUCAUGGAGGAGAAACUGAAUACCAAAACUUAUCAAACCAUCAGUCAGCGCAUGGCCACGGAGGAAGCUGCGUGCGCACUGCUUGAGGGAAGCAGGAGAGAGGAUGAUAAUCAAUCGUAUGUAUCCAAUUUCAAUUGUUCAUUACAUUUGCAUGUGUUUUCAUCUUAGUCAUAGUUCUGGAAUGUGCUCAAAAUUAGGAGCAGCAGAUUUCUCUUAGAUUAUUGUCCUACAUAACAUUCUCAAAACAAUAAUUUUGUGUAGUGUAUGUUUACAGAUAUGUGUCCCAUACAACAUCAAUGGAUCACUAUUUAUCAUUUGCCAGUUUUCAUUUAGUUUGUAAUUUUUUACAAUACACCGCUGAUAAUUUCAUUCCUAUUAUCAGGUAUAUGUGCAUGCUACAUUUUAGCAAAACAAGUUGAUAAUAUAUGGGAAGCUAAUAUGAUUACCUUUAUAUACAUAACUAUUUUCAUAUACAUAAUGUAGAUUUAUUCUUUAGAAAAAUCUUUGCAUAGAGCAACCCAUGUUCAGUAAUAGUUGUGACAUGGAACAACUGCUAAACCCACAAAAUACCAGACCCAGCUGGAUAAACAAAAAAAAAAUGCACACCAGUGUGAUUUGAGUUAAUAUCAACAUAGUGACAAAACAUAAGUGACAAAACAGAAAUGUUUUAAUUUCUAUAUGUAUCACAUUGCUUUUGAAGCACAAAUUGCUUAACCAGAUCUACAUCACACUGCUUUUGAAGCAUAAAUUGCUUAACCAAAUCUACCAGUAAAUUUCUGGCUUUCAGUUGUGCUUGUCCACUUUAUUGGAGCAAGGUAACACAGUUUCUCCAUAUUUUUCACUUGUAGGUGAAAUUCAGUUUCGAAAAAUCUCGAGCCAAUAAUAGAUGAGUAUCAAUUCAUGAAUCCCAAAUGACUGAAGGUAAGAUAGCAUUCAAAGAACACAUCUACCAAUGUCAUCAUCAUGAAAUGACAAUCAUUAUUUCACAUGCAAGGACAAAACUGUAGGGGUUCUGCAACCAUUUAUGGUGGUGAGGCUUUGUACUGUAACAAAGAGGUAAGGCAGCGAGCAAAAUGGAAAAGGCACACCCACAGGGGCAAGCAGCUGGAGCUGAACAGGUGGGAAAAAAAUUCCUGCAAACACAUAAAAACAAACAAUGAAGGAAAAAGUGCAUUAGCUCAAGGAGGUUUGUGGAAAAAGGUAGAGGAAAGCUCAUCAUGAUAACAUGAUAAGCAUGGAGAUACACACAAGGCAGAACAUGUGGUUGUUCCAAACGCAUAGCCAAGCAUGGCUCAGCAUUGGAUCAAAAUGACUCUGCUGCAUUUGACCACUCAUGAGUGUACAGUAAGACCGCUAAGUUGGCACAAUUGAGGCGAUUCAAGGUGCUACAGGUGACAAGAAAAAAUGCAGAGUGACUACAGCUGUCUCAAUCCCUGGAUCUUUUUAUGAACAUACAGCAGUCAUUCAAGUUUCAUCGUCCAACCACUUUGCAUACAAGUGAUAAGGACAUCAGAAUGUACGGCAAUAUUUGCACCUUCUUUUCCUCCAGUGGUGCAUUUUUCAUGAAGACGAAGGGGGAUUCUCAACCAAAAUCAAGGACAUUCAUGAUGCUGCCGAUGUCAACAAAAUGCUUUGUAUUUUUUUACUACUAAUUAUUAUUUACAUCCUUUGUAAUGAUAAAACUGAAUUAUUGUUUAGUUCUGUAGUUGGGUAUCAGCCACGGUGGGGUCACUAUGCUACCUGGGGAACAGGUCCAGGCACAAGGCCAGGAAGCUUGAGCCCCAGUGGGCAGCCCUUGCUACCAGGCAAUCUCUCUUUGAUUUUGUAUAUGACGAUGAUGAAAGAGCAGGGAAUUUUUUUGCUUACUUUUACAUAAUAUGGCUGACAAAUGAGUGAAAUAGUUAGUAUCAUUGUGAGGAAUAGUGGGAAUCCACUGUACUCUUGUCAAUAACAACAUGGAGGCAACAACAACAUCAACAACAUGGUGACAACAGCUACGUACGUCAUCAACAACAUGGCAGUGAUAACGCCAUCAACAGGAUGGUGACAACAACAUGGUGGCAACAAUUACAUCAACACUGCAGCAACAAAAGCAUUAUCAACAACAUGGCAGCAAACAAAUGUUAUUACCGAUGUGCUCAGACACUUUCUAUGAAAUCACCAGUAUUUGAGAAUCUAAACAUUACUAUAAAAAAUGGGUGCCUAUUCUAACCUGCCAUCAUUCAACAAAGUAACAAGAAUUCCACAAAGGCGCUUGGGCCUCACAGAGGAUCUGAUAUGCAGAAGCAAGGUGUCUGGGCAUAUCAAUACGAAGCAGCUGCCUACCCGUCAAAAAAGGUGUUGUGACUCAAUUUCCAUGGUAGGUUUUAAAGUUUGGUAUUUCUGGAAGUAAAAUAAGAGGUGAAAUCCGUAGUGAUGAAAACUGCAUUGGUGAACUACAUCUUUUUUUCUUUUGGUUCUUCAAUUCAUUGUAACUUUGCAUUCUGCACCAUCAAUUACAUACAUAUUGUGGGAGUAUUACAAAUAAAUUGAUCAAAAGGCUUGACUCAUUAGCUCUUGAAAAAAUCUACUUUAAUCCUGAGAUAUUACUGACUAGAAAUAUGUGAUAAUAAUAGUUUUUUGCAACAACCUCAACGUGUUUUCUCUUUAGCUAAAUUCCUUUAUCAGGCAGAUUACUAUUGUAAAAACUGGAAAAUUGUGUAUAUAAUAUUGAUAAUAAAAUAACAAGUGAAAAUUCUUUAAUGUCAGUUCUAUAUGAAAGUAAAGACAGUCUUUCUAUUCUUGUUACUGUGUGCAUUCUAAAUCAGCCAUCUAUUUAAGAAGGUACAUCUAAGUGAAACACAGUUGUAAAUAUAUUUUCUGGAGUUCUCAAAAUUCAAGCUGUUCAAAAUUUAUUGUAACUUUUCACCUUUAAUUCUAUUCUGCCAUCAUUGAUCACCUCUGAUUAAUUUAAUACCCCAAACCUAUCAUUAUUAUUUUGAGUAUCAUGCAAGGGUGAAUAGCGCUGACUUUUGUUACUGCAUGUUGGUAUUGAAGAUGGUGCAGCAUUUGAAUAUUUUAUCUCAAAAGGUUUAUAAGUAUUAUGAUGGUCAGUUUAGGAAAGCAGAUGUAUGUAAUUUAUUCCUGGCACUUCCUUUAGUAGAUAUUGGUACCUUAUCAUAAAUGGCUCUUGCCUAAUUUUCCAGAUGUAUAUAAUUUAUUAAAAAAUUCUUAAAUCACGAAAGACAUGCUCAAGUUGAACAACAGUAGUGUAUACCCGGCUUGCCUCCCUCUAUAUCACACGUAAGAGGACACAUCCCCCUUACCUUAUUGCAAUAUAUUGACUCUCUUUAGUAUCUGCAUUAUUCUUUAUCUUACUGACCCUUUUUUUUUCCCUUUCACUAACCCAGUCUUCCUGAGGGGGCUGAAGGAGAGGAGUAUCCAGAAACUGGAAUUGAAGAUGAUAUGGACAAGAAACCAAAAGUGACAGCUCAGCUCAGUCAGUCACUUGAUGACCCUGCAAACUAUGUGGCUAAGGUGUCAAACGUAGCAGGAAAUAUGGCUGGAAAAGUUGGAA